AUUGAUACAGGUAAUUGAUGGUAGAAAUAACUUUAAAAAAAUUAAAGCCAACCAGGGGACAGUGAGGCAACCUACAAUUUAGCAACAAUGGGAGGCUACUAUCACCUUCCCUUGGAGAACAGGGAUAGGAGGCUGUACUACUGGAGCUGCAGGGAGGGAUAUUUGGGGGAAGCUGGAACCACAGUGGGCCUAUGUAAAGGAGCAGGAGCCUGUAAAAAAUGUAACUGUUAUUAGGGAUGACAGGGAGAAAAUGAGACAAUAUCUAGAUUUCUCCUUGUUCCUGCCUUUCAUCUUUCUACAUGUGUCUCCUAUUGUUUGAGCCUAACUGGAAGCCAGCUUUCAGAAAAUCUGAGCUACAUAAUCCACAGUGUUCAUCCCCUCUGUCUUAUGAACUGAACUGGGCAGAGUGAGGAAUGGGUCUCAGGAAAAAUAGACCCAUUAUCAUCACGACAUUCAGGUGGAAGUGUAAAAAAUGCAAUUGGAUUUAUGCGUGUGGAAUUUGGGAUAGAGAUAUGGCAUGGAAAUAUAAAUUUGGGAGUCAUUAGCAUUUACACUGCAUGUAAAACCACGAGAUUGGAUGAGAUAACCAAGGAAAGAAGUACAGAGAAAGAUGAUGGUGGGGGGAAAUAAAAUACUGAGGCCUGGAGCAUUCCAACAUAGAAUUAUCUGGCUCAGUUUGUCCAUAGUACCAGAGAAAAGACCCUGCUCUAUUAAUAUGCAGGAUGAGUAGUGUGUAAUUUUAGAUACUGGCGUUAAGUAUAUGUAGUAGUGGGAGUCUGCAUACAUUUCCUCUUGAUUGUUAUUUAUCUAUCUAUGUAUUUAUUUUUUGACACAGG
rnacentral:lncRNA from 1 species